rnacentral:lncRNA from 1 species
GUCUCCUGUACUGUUUAGUAUAAACUUGUUCCUAAUGGUUUUUUUUUCCUCCACAGGAUUGUUCCAAAUUUGGCUAUCAGUAAAAUCCUGUCUCGAGAUAAUAAUAAGGUUCGCAUUCUACAGGUAUGAUGUAGAAGAUCUUAUGGAAUGUUAUAAUCAUUUUGCUGACCUUCUACUUUGAUGCAUCUAUUUUCCUCUCUUUGAUCCCUGAAGCCGUCACAGUUGCCAAACUUGAAGUGAUUUUCCCCUUUAAUAUCUUGGAUAUAAUCUUACUUAUAGGCACAUUUUUUCUUUAUCUGCUUUGGUUUUCAUUAACUUGCGAUGCAACCAACAGCUAAAUCUGUACUGAUACAACUAAUGAAAAGCUAGAUGAUAUAAAGGUGUAUGUUUCCCAUUU